rnacentral:rRNA from 1 species
GAUGAACGCUGGCGGCGUGCCUAAUACAUGCAAGUCGAGCGAACAGACGAGGAGCUUGCUCCUCUGACGUUAGCGGCGGACGGGUGAGUAACACGUGGAUAACCUACCUAUAAGACUGGGAUAACUUCGGGAAACCGGAGCUAAUACCGGAUAAUAUAUUGAACCGCAUGGUUCAAUAGUGAAAGACGGUUUUGCUGUCACUUAUAGAUGGAUCCGCGCCGCAUUAGCUAGUUGGUAAGGUAACGGCUUACCAAGGCAACGAUGCGUAGCCGACCUGAGAGGGUGGGCGGCCACACUGGAACUGAGACACGAUCCAGACUCCGACGGGAGGAACAAGGAGGGAAUCUUCCGCAAUGGGAGAAGGCCUGAGGGAGCACCGCCGGGUGGGUGAUGAAGGUCUUCGGAUCGUAAAACUCUGUUAUUAGGGAAGAACAAAUGUGAAAGUAUCUAUGCCCGUCUUGAGGUUCCCUAAUAAAAAAGCCACGGAAAACUCCGUC